AGCAGCCGCGGUAAUUCCAGCUCCAAUAGCGUAUAUUAAAGUUGUUGCAGUUAAAAAGCUCGUAGUUGAAUUUCGGGACCAAUCUGCCGGUCGUGCCUCCGGUACGCACUGGUUUUAUUGGUUUCUCCCUUCUGACGAACCAUGAUGUCAUUAAUUUGGUGUCAUGGGGAAUCAGGACUGUUACUUUGAAAAAAUUAGAGUGUUUAUAGCAGGCUCACGCUUGAAUACAUUAGCAUGGAAUAAUGAAAUAGGACGUUUGACCCUAUUUUGUUGGUUUCUAGGAUCGACGUAAUGAUUAAUAGGGAUAGUUGGGGGCAUUAGUAUUCAAUUGUCAGAGGUGAAAUUCUUGGAUUUAUUGAAGACUAACUACUGCGAAAGCAUUUGCCAAGGAUGUUUUCAUUAAUCAAGAACGAAAGUUAGGAGAUCGAAGACGAUCAGAUACCGUCGUAGUCUUAACCAUAAACUAUGCCGACUAGGGAUCGGAUGAUGUUAAUUUUUUAAUGAC
rnacentral:rRNA from 1 species